rnacentral:tRNA from 1 species
GUAAGUGAUUGAUUUGGCAGCCCUGAAAAGGCUGGCGUCGGCGGUUCGAUUCCGUCCCUGGCCACCA